rnacentral:tmRNA from 1 species
ACCCUUGACAUCCGCGCGAUUUUCGAUUAUAUAUGUUAUCGCCGCAAGGCUAUGACGCUAAAUCUUUAUUGGAAUAGGCAUUUUGGACCGGGGGGCGGUACCCCGUGCCUCCACCAUAAAGACCGCUGCAUCGGCCGCGAAACGCAUUGUAUGGGGGCAAAAUAGCUUCGACAAAUGCAAUAAAGUGUAAAGGUGCGUCAAGGGAUGGUUCCGUCUUUAAUCGGGCCGAAACAAAUGAACGCGAAUGAUAACCGUUCAGCGCUUCGCAUGGCUGCCUAAUGGCGGCUUGAGGCCACUUAAUCCCUUCGGGAUCUUCUGAACCCCGCGGGUGGGGUCGCCGGCACCCAGCAACAGAAAGCCGGCAUU